CCUACGGGAGGCUGCAGUGGGGAAUAUUGCACAAUGGGGGAAACCCUGAUGCAGCGACGCCGCGUGAGUGAAGAAGGAAUUCGUUAUGGAAAGCUCUAUCAGCAAGGAAGAAAAGUACGGUACCUGAGUAAGAAUCCCCGGCGAACUACGUGCCAGCAGCCCCGGUAAUAAGUAGGGGGCAAGCGUUAUCCGGAUUGACUGGGUGUAAAGGGAGCGUAGACGGCAGUGCAAGUCUGGAGGGAAAGGCGGGGGCUCAACCCCCGGACUGCUCUUGAAACUGUACGGCUGGAGUGCAGGAGAGGUAAGUGGAAUGCCUAGUGUAGCGGUGAAAUGCGUAGAUAUUAGGAGGAACACCAGUGGCGAAGGCGGCUUACUGGACUGUAACUGACGUUGAGGCUCGAAAGCGUGGGGAGCAAACAGGAUUAGAUACCCUUGUAGUC
rnacentral:rRNA from 1 species